rnacentral:rRNA from 1 species
GUGCCAGCAGCCGCGGUAAUACGGAGGAUGCAAGCGUUAUCCGGAAUGAUUGGGCGUAAAGCGUCCGCAGGUGGCGAUGUAAGUCUGCUGUUAAAGAGUGAGGCUCAACCUCAUAAGAGCAGUGGAAACUACAUAGCUAGAGUACGUUCGGGGCAGAGGGAAUUCCUGGUGUAGCGGUGAAAUGCGUAGAGAUCRGGAAGAACACCAGUGGCGAAGGCGCUCUGCUAGGCCGUAACUGACACUGAGGGACGAAAGCUAGGGGAGCGAAUGGGAUUAGAUACCCCAGUAGUCCUAGCCGUAAACGAUGGAUACUAGGCGUGGCUUGUAUCGACCCGAGCCGUGCCGUAGCUAACGCGUUAAGUAUCCCGCCUGGGGAGUACGCCGGCAACGGUGAAACUCAAAGGAAUUGACGGGGGCCCGCACAAGCGGUGGAGUAUGUGGUUUAAUUCGAUGCAACGCGAAGAACCUUACCAAGGCUUGACAUGUCGCGAAUCUUCUUGAAAGGGAAGAGUGCCUUCGGGAGCGCGAACACAGGUGGUGCAUGGCUGUCGUCAGCUCGUGUCGUGAGAUGUUGGGUUAAGUCCCGCAACGAGCGCAACCCUCGUUUUUAGUUGCCAGCAUUAAGUUGGGCACUCUAGAGAGACUGCCGGUGACAAACCGGAGGAAGGUGGGGAUGACGUCAAGUCAGCAUGCCCCUUACGCCUUGGGCUACACACGUACUACAAUGCUCCGGACAGAGGGCAGCAAGCAUGCGAAUGCAAGCAAAUCCCGUAAACCGGAGCUCAGUUCAGAUCGCAGGCUGCAACUCGCCUGCGUGAAGGAGGAAUCGCUAGUAAUUGCAGGUCAGCAUACUGCAGUGAAUUCGUUCCCGGGCCUUGUACACACCGCCCGUCACACCAUGGAAGCUGGUAGUGCCCGAAGUCAUUACUCCAACCUUUCGGGGGGGAGGAUGCCUAAGGCAGGACUGGUGACUGGGGUGAAGUCGUAACAAGGUAACC